rnacentral:rRNA from 1 species
ACUCCUACGGGAGGCAGCAGUGGGGAAUAUUGCACAAUGGGCGCAAGCCUGAUGCAGCCAUGCCGCGUGUGUGAAGAAGGCCUUCGGGUUGUAAAUGCAACUUUCAGUUCGUGAGGGAAGGAUAGUGUAGUUAAUAGCUGCAUUAUUUGACGUUAGCGACAGAAGAAGCACCGGCUAACUCCGUGCCAGCAGCCGCGGUAAUACGGAGGGUGCGAGCGUUAA